GUUGGUAUAGCUCAGGGGUAGAGCACGUGCUUAGCAUGCACGAGGUCCUGGGUUCAAUCUCCAGUACCUCCG
rnacentral:tRNA from 1 species